UACGUAGGUGGCAAGCGUUGUCCGGAUUUACUGGGCGUAAAGGGAGCGUAGGCGGACUUUUAAGUGAGAUGUGAAAUACCCGGGCUCAACUUGGGUGCUGCAUUUCAAACUGGAAGUCUAGAGUGCAGGAGAGGAGAAUGGAAUUCCUAGUGUAGCGGUGAAAUGCGUAGAGAUUAGGAAGAACACCAGUGGCGAAGGCGAUUCUCUGGACUGUAACUGACGCUGAGGCUCGAAAGCGUGGGGAGCAAACAGGAUUAGAUACCCGGGUA
rnacentral:rRNA from 1 species